GACGAACGCUGGCGGCGUGCUUAACACAUGCAAGUCGAACGAAGAGCGAUGGAAGCUUGCUUCUAUCAAUCUUAGUGGCGAACGGGUGAGUAACGCGUAAUCAACCUGCCCUUCAGAGGGGGACAACAGUUGGAAACGACUGCUAAUACCGCAUACGAUCUAAUCUCGGCAUCGAGGAUAGAUGAAAGGUGGCCUCUACAUGUAAGCUAUCACUGAAGGAGGGGAUUGCGUCUGAUUAGCUAGUUGGAGGGGUAACGGCCCACCAAGGCGAUGAUCAGUAGCCGGUCUGAGAGGAUGAACGGCCACAUUGGGACUGAGACACGGCCCAGACUCCUACGGGAGGCAGCAGUGGGGAAUCUUCCGCAAUGGACGAAAGUCUGACGGAGCAACGCCGCGUGAGCGAUGACGGCCUUCGGGUUGUAAAGCUCUGUUAAUCGGGACGAAAGGCCUUCUUGCGAAUAGUGAGAAGGAUUGACGGUACCGGAAGAGAAAGCCACGGCUAACUACGUG
rnacentral:rRNA from 1 species